rnacentral:rRNA from 1 species
UGCCAGCAGCCGCGGUAAAACGUAGGGGGCGGGCGUUAUCCGGAUUUACUGGGCGUAAAGCGCACGUAGGUGGUGUUGUAAGUUGGACGUGAAAGCUCUUGGCUUAACCAAGAGAGGUCGUUCAAAACUGUAACACUUGAGGUUGACAGAGGAGAGUAGAAUUCCCGGUGUAGUGGUGGAAUGCGUAGAUAUCGGGAGGAAUACCAGUGGCGAAGGCGGCUCUCUGGGUCACACCUGACGCUGAGGUGCGAAAGCGUGGGGAGCGAACGGGAUUAGAUA